rnacentral:misc_RNA from 1 species
CCUUUCUACGGAGAUUUUUGGGCCGCGGAUUGCUCGUCCAUGGUGGUGGACGGUUCGCGGUGCUGGCGUGGAAAAGGGUAAGAGGCUGUUUUUGUGGCCGGUGCAUGCUGUUGGGUUCCCUGGCCGCGACACGUGGUCGGAUCCGCAUGGUGUCCCCCGGGCCGGUUGGUUCGGGCGCGCCGUGUGUGGUGUGGUGGUUUGAGAACUGGAUAGUGGACGCGAGCGAGGCAAGCCGUACGGCUUGUUUUGUUUGUGCUGUGAUUGUUCCAAAGAGUUUUUUGGAUGUAUCGAUCGAUUUGAUCUGCUAGUUGUUUUUUGUGUGGUUGUUCGCGCGCUGUGAGCAUUCGUGGU